GUAUAAGAGACAGCAGCAGCCGCGGGAAUACGAAGGGUGCAAGCGUUAAUCGGAAUUACUGGGCGUAAAGCGUGCGUAGGCGGUGAGUUAAGUCUGCUGUGAAAUCCCCGGGCUUAACCUGGGAACUGCGCUUGUGACUGCACAGCUAGAGUAUGGCAGAGGGGGGUGGAAUCCCGCGUGUAGCAGUGAAAUGCAUAGAUAUGCGGAGGAACACCGAUGGCGAAGGCAGCCCCCUGGGCCAAUACUGACGCUCAUGCACGAAAGCGUGGGGAGCAAACAGGUUUAGAUACCCCUGUAGUCCCUGUCUCUUAUAC
rnacentral:rRNA from 1 species